UACGUAGGGGGCGAGCGUUGUCCGGAAUUAUUGGGCGUAAAGAGCGUGUAGGCUGUUCGGUAAGUCUGCCGUGAAAACCUGAGGCUCAACCUCGGGCGUGCGGUGGAUACUGCCGGGCUAGAGGACGGUAGAGGCGAGUGGAAUUCCCGGUGUAGCGGUGAAAUGCGCAGAUAUCGGGAGGAACACCAAUGGCGAAGGCAGCACUCUGGGACGUGACUGACGCUGAGACGCGAAAGCGUGGGGAGCAAACAGG
rnacentral:rRNA from 1 species